rnacentral:rRNA from 1 species
UACGUAGGGUGCGAGCGUUGUCCGGAAUUACUGGGCGUAAAGAGCUCGUAGGCGGUUUGUCGCGUCGUCCGUGAAAACUUGGGGCUCAACCCCAAGCUUGCGGGCGAUACGGGCAGACUUGAGUACUGCAGGGGAGACUGGAAUUCCUGGUGUAGCGGUGAAAUGCGCAGAUAUCAGGAGGAACACCGGUGGCGAAGGCGGGACUCUGGGCCGAUACUGACGCUGAGGAGCGAAAGCGUGGGGAGCAAACAGG